rnacentral:lncRNA from 1 species
ACUCUUCUAAUGGAUUGCUGUUUCCGCUGCAUUUGUUGAUCUAAAACUUGUUGUCUAUUGUAUUCUAUUAGAUUUUUCCCUGUUGAAGACUAACGAUAAUUUGUUGUAUAUUAUCUUAGUCAUAAUAUUCUUUACUGGGCUAGUUGAGCUCACCCUUUUCCUUUUUGUUCCAUUUUUCUUCUCAGGAUGUGAGAACAUAGCAGGAUCGAGUCGGG